UACAGAGGGUGCGAGCGUUGUCCGGAAUCACUGGGCGUAAAGAGCGUGUAGGCGGCCAUUUAAGUCCUGCGUGAAAUCUUGCGGCUCAACCGCAAGCGGUCGUGGGAAACUGGGUGGCUAGAGUGCGGGAGAGGAGAGUGGAAUUCCUGGUGUAGCGGUGGAAUGCGCAGAUAUCAGGAAGAACACCCGUGGCGAAGGCGGCUCUCUGGAACGCAACUGACGCUGAGACGCGAAAGCGUGGGGAGCAAACAGG
rnacentral:rRNA from 1 species